rnacentral:misc_RNA from 1 species
AACGCACAUUGCGCCCCCUGGCAUUCCGGGGGGCAUGCCUGUCCGAGCGUCAUUGCUGCCCAUCAAGCCCGGCUUGUGUGUUGGGUCGUCGUCCCCCCCGGGGGACGGGCCCGAAAGGCAGCGGCGGCACCGUGUCCGGUCCUCGAGCGUAUGGGGCUUUGUCACCCGCUCGACUAGGGCCGGCCGGGCGCCAGCCGACGUCUCCAACCAUUUUUCUUCAGGUUGACCUCGGAUCAGGUAGGGAUACCCGCUGAACUUAA